rnacentral:rRNA from 1 species
AUUGAACGCUGGCGGCAGGCCUAACACAUGCAAGUCGAGCGGAUGACAGGAGCUUGCUCCUUGAUUCAGCGGCGGACGGGUGAGUAAUGCCUAGGAAUCUGCCUGGUAGUGGGGGACAACGUUUCGAAAGGAACGCUAAUACCGCAUACGUCCUACGGGAGAAAGCAGGGGACCUUCGGGCCUUGCGCUAUCAGAUGAGCCUAGGUCGUGAUUAGCUAGUUGGUGAGGUAAUGGCUCACCAAGGCGACGAUCCGUAACUGGUCUGAGAGGAUGAUCAGUCACACUGGAACUGAGACACGGUCCAGACUCCUACGGGAGGCAGCAGUGGGGAAUAUUGGACAAUGGGCGAAAGCCUGAUCCAGCCAUGCCGCGUGUGUGAAGAAGGUCUUCGGAUUGUAAAGCACUUUAAGUUGGGAGGAAGGGUUGUAGAUUAAUACUCUGCAAUUUUGACGUUACCGACAGAAUAAGCACCGGCUAACUCUGUGCCAGCCGCCGCCGUAA